rnacentral:snRNA from 1 species
AGUAGGAGGGCGCGGCGGUCGCU